UACGGGGGGGGCAAGCGUUGUUCGGAAUUACUGGGCGUAAAGGGCUCGUAGGCGGCCAACUAAGUCGGACGUGAAAUCCCCAGGCUCAACCUGGGAACUGCGUCCGAUACUGGAUGGCUUGAAUCCGGGAGAGGGAUGCAGAAUUCCAGGUGUAGCGGUGAAAUGCGCAGAUAUCAGGAGGAACACCGAUGGCGAAGGCAGGUCUCUGGGCAUUAACUGACGCUGAGGAGCGAAAGCAUGGGGAGCGAACAGG
rnacentral:rRNA from 1 species